rnacentral:lncRNA from 1 species
ACCCUCUCUGGGCCCCCAUGUCUUCUCUGUGGAAUAAGGGAGGAGUCUGGCAGCAAGGCCCUGAGAGGAGCUCCUGGCACUGACAUUCGGACACCAUCUCACACUUGUGCUGGUUUCACUGGUCCUCCUGAACAUAUACAUAAAUAUUCCUUUUGCUACCACAUCAGGGUGAACAGCAACACUUGGCAAUUAGUGCAUUUUCCCCCCAAGACUCAACUCUUCCCAAAGUUCUGAGCACCUGAUCCCCUCUGAAUAGGGGCUGUCAGGAGGGCUCUAUGGCUCCCACGGAAAUGCACAGAUGUUAUCAUUAAAGAGAUGUCAGCCUUGAUGGGUGGCGGGGGAGGAGGGGAUGUGAUAGUGAGGGUGGAGAAGGCGGGGCAGGGCCCAGUGGGAGGUGAGCACAGCCAGAGCAGUGUCCUCAUGGCACGGAGAGCUUGGUGUCAGCAUUGCAGCCAGAGGACACUGCUGCUAAUAAUGGUAACAAGACUAAGGUCAGCACCUGGCAGUUUACCGGGCACUUCUUGAACCUUUCUCGGCAUCUCACCAUCUUUCAGAAAGGCAGAUUUUAUUAAUCCCCUCUUGCAGGUGGAAAAACUGAGACCAAAGGUCAGAGUUUUUAUUUUGGCUACAAUCCAAUAUGUACACCAGAGACUGAUGAACUUCCUGACCCAGGUUGAGCCCAGUAAACUGCAGGCGAGUCAUUCCCAGGCCUAGGGUGGAUGGACUUCGGGAGGGCAGAUGGCCCAGAGUACCAUCAGGCCUUAGGGGAGGAGGCCCUGAGGGGUGGCUGGGGGACCCUGGCCUGUCCAGGAUCAACCCAGGAAGCAGGUGUGUGAACCCAGGGAGCCCAGGCGCUCCCCAUUCUCAGUGGGUCCUGUGUGUCCAGGUUGGGGGGGUAGUGGUGCUCCAUGCUAGUCGAUGCUUUUCCCCACAGUCACAUGCUUUGCUCCUCCUGCCACCUCGGGUGGGUCUGGGUGGACCUGCCAUCUGCCUGCAGCCGGUCCCCGAGGGGCUGGCCAUCUGAGUCACCUGGACUGACCUGGACUCCCUGUGUCAGCUUGGCAGCAGGUUCCCUUGCUCUUACCUCAUCUGCACCUGCUGGCUUCUGGACAAGGAGUGGGAUCACGUGGUCCAGGAGGAGCUCGGCACAGAAAUCCCACUGGGCCCUGGAAACGCAGAUGUGACAAUGGACAAGAUCCAUCUGAAAGUUUUGAAGAGAAUAAAGGAGGAGUAAAGAUGUAUAUCA